rnacentral:rRNA from 1 species
GUAGGGAAUAUUGGACAAUGGGCGAAAGCCUGAUCCAGCCAUGCCGCGUGUGUGAAGAAGGUCUUCGGAUUGUAAAGCACUUUAAGUUGGGAGGAAGGGCAGUAAGUUAAUACCUUGCUGUUUUGACGUUACCGACAGAAUAAGCACCGGCUAACUUCGUGCCAGCAGCCGCGGUAAUACGAAGGGUGCAAGCGUUAAUCGGAAUUACUGGGCGAAAAGCGCGCGUAGGUGGUUCAGCAAGUCGGAGGUGAAAUCCCCGGGCUCAACCUGGGAACUGCCGCCAAAACUACUGAGCUAGAGUACGGUAGAGGGUAGUGGAAUUUCCUGUGUAGCGGUGAAAUGCGUAGAUAUAGGAAGGAACACCAGUGGCGAAGGCGACUACCUGGACUGAUACUGACACUGAGGUGCGAAAGCGUGGGGAGCAAACAGGAUUAGAUACCCUAGUAGUCC